rnacentral:rRNA from 1 species
GGAUCCAGACUUUGAUUCUGGCUCAGGACGAACGCUGGCGGCGUGCCUAAUACAUGCAAGUCGAACGAAGCUUUCUUUCACCGAAUGCUUGCAUUCACCGAAAGAAGCUUAGUGGCGAACGGGUGAGUAACACGUAGGCAACCUGCCCAAAAGAGGGGGAUAACACUUGGAAACAGGUGCUAAUACCGCAUAACCAUGAACACCGCAUGAUGUUCAUGUAAAAGACGGCUUUUGCUGUCACUUUUGGAUGGGCCUGCGGCGUAUUAACUUGUUGGUGGGGUAACGGCCUACCAAGGUGAUGAUACGUAGCCGAACUGAGAGGUUGAUCGGCCACAUUGGGACUGAGACACGGCCCAAACUCCUACGGGAGGCAGCAGUAGGGAAUCUUCCACAAUGGACGAAAGUCUGAUGGAGCAACGCCGCGUGAAUGAAGAAGGCCUUCGGGUCGUAAAAUUCUGUUGCCAGAGAAGAACGUGCGUGAGAGUAACUGUUCACGUAUUGACGGUAUCUGACCAGAAAGCCACGGCUAACUACGUGCCAGCAGCCGCGGUAAUACGUAGG